GGAUGUGAGGGCGAUCUGGCUGCGACAUCUGUCACCCCAUUGAUCGCCAGGGUUGAUUCGGCUGAUCUGGCUGGCUAGGCGGGUGUCCCCUUCCUCCCUCACCGCUCCAUGUGCGUCCCUCCCGAAGCUGCACGCUCGGUCGAAGAGGACGGCCUUCCCCGAAUAGAGACCUACCGGUCUUCGGUCUAGGGUAUACGAGUAGCUGCGCUCCCCUGCUAGAACCUCCAAACAAGCUCUCAAGCACCUAACCAGUUGUAUUAUCUCCACAUCCUCUAAAUCCAUUUUUUUUUUGGUUGUUUUU
rnacentral:snRNA from 1 species